rnacentral:lncRNA from 1 species
CUGUAUAGAUAAACCUACCAGGUGAGCCUCCCCCUUCCUGGGUACACAUGGGUAAGGUCGACUUGUUAGCCACCAGUCCUCUCUGGGAGCUCAGCCUCUCUCUAGAACAUGCUUAGUGCUACCCCUCUGUGUACUUUUCAGGUGGUUUGGAGAAGAAAGCAAACAAAAUAAUGGACAGGACGAUGCUUGGGACACUGUGUUUUCUUUACAAGCAUUUGGAGACUCUGCUUCAACUUUUCUUCACUACGUGGCAACCCAAACUCUCCCUGCGAUAUUCUGCACCGUACCAAGCUCAGCUGGGAGCCUUUGAGAGCUCUGUGUGCAAAGGAGAUAAACCAGAGGCAUGGUACUCACU